GAGUUUGAUUCUGGCUCAGAUUGAACGCUGGCGGCAGGCUUAACACAUGCAAGUCGAGCGGAGAGAGGUAGCUUGCUACUGAUCUUAGCGGCGGACGGGUGAGUAAUGCUUAGGAAUCUGCCUAUUAGUGGGGGACAACAUUUCGAAAGGAAUGCUAAUACCGCAUACGUCCUACGGGAGAAAGCAGGGGAUCUUCGGACCUUGCGCUAAUAGAUGAGCCUAAGUCGGAUUAGCUAGUUGGUGGGGUAAAGGCCUACCAAGGCGACGAUCUGUAGCGGGUCUGAGAGGAUGAUCCGCCACACUGGGACUGAGACACGGCCCAGACUCCUACGGGAGGCAGCAGUGGGGAAUAUUGGACAAUGGGCGCAAGCCUGAUCCAGCCAUGCCGCGUGUGUGAAGAAGGCCUUAUGGUUGUAAAGCACUUUAAGCGAGGAGGAGGCUACUUUAGAUAAUACCUAGAGAUAGUGGACGUUACUCGCAGAAUAAGCACCGGCUAACUCUGUGCCAGCAGCCGCGGUAAUACAGAGGGUGCAAGCGUUAAUCGGAUUUACUGGGCGUAAAGCGCGCGUAGGCGGCUAAUUAAGUCAAAUGUGAAAUCCCCGAGCUUAACUUGGGAAUUGCAUUCGAUACUGGUUAGCUAGAGUGUGGGAGAGGAUGGUAGAAUUCCAGGUGUAGCGGUGAAAUGCGUAGAGAUCUGGAGGAAUACCGAUGGCGAAGGCAGCCAUCUGGCCUAACACUGACGCUGAGGUGCGAAAGCAUGGGGAGCAAACAGGAUUAGAUACCCUGGUAGUCCAUGCCGUAAACGAUGUCUACUAGCCGUUGGGGCCUUUGAGGCUUUAGUGGCGCAGCUAACGCGAUAAGUAGACCGCCUGGGGAGUACGGUCGCAAGACUAAAACUCAAAUGAAUUGACGGGGGCCCGCACAAGCGGUGGAGCAUGUGGUUUAAUUCGAUGCAACGCGAAGAACCUUACCUGGCCUUGACAUAGUAAGAACUUUCCAGAGAUGGAUUGGUGCCUUCGGGAACUUACAUACAGGUGCUGCAUGGCUGUCGUCAGCUCGUGUCGUGAGAUGUUGGGUUAAGUCCCGCAACGAGCGCAACCCUUUUCCUUAUUUGCCAGCGAGUAAUGUCGGGAACUUUAAGGAUACUGCCAGUGACAAACUGGAGGAAGGCGGGGACGACGUCAAGUCAUCAUGGCCCUUACGGCCAGGGCUACACACGUGCUACAAUGGUCGGUACAAAGGGUUGCUACCUAGCGAUAGGAUGCUAAUCUCAAAAAGCCGAUCGUAGUCCGGAUUGGAGUCUGCAACUCGACUCCAUGAAGUCGGAAUCGCUAGUAAUCGCGGAUCAGAAUGCCGCGGUGAAUACGUUCCCGGGCCUUGUACACACCGCCCGUCACACCAUGGGAGUUUGUUGCACCAGAAGUAGCUAGCCUAACUGNCAAGAGGGCGGUUCCACGGUGUGGCCGAUGACUGGGGUGA
rnacentral:rRNA from 1 species